rnacentral:lncRNA from 1 species
UUGGCUACGGACCUGGAGGGUGAUAGGAGGCACAGAGGCACCAUAAUGAGGACGAUGAAGUAAUGAUGGAGGAAAACGACAUUGAUAUGAAAUUGAUAGGGUGAAGCAAAAACACACCUACAGAACUAUAUCUUUCCUGUUUUUCUGGGGGGUCUUUUUUUUAAUCCAACGUACACAACCUAAAACUCCAUAAAACACAGACACACACACACCCACACUCCUUUUCUCUCCCCUGUGUGGUUUAGCACAAGCAGCUUGGCAGCUGCUGUCUGUUUACGUGUUGGUAUUCAAGUUGAGAAUGAUUGGUGGAAGGCCCAGCCCACAGAGAGCUGCUAGCAGAGAGCCUGGAUAAACAUCCACUGGGCACAGCACAAAGACAGAGAGCGGGAAGAGAGACGCUGGGAUAGACUCUAAAUCUCCAAUACACUUACCACCAGCAACAGUAGCAGCAGAAGAGGCACAAAAUCCCCUAUUCUUAAAACUUUGAUGCUGAUGGGAGAUGCUAGAACAAUCUGAUGCACUUUUUCUUCAAGUGGUGACAAAACAGAUGAGUUUGAAGGAAAAUUUGUUUGGGGGCGGGGGCAUAUUUAAGGAAGUGCAAAGAGGAUCUACAAGGAGGAGUAUGCGGCAGGUCUGCUCAAGGAAUGAGACGUAGGGGGAUUUCUUUGGGACAAGUGCCAUGUCAUGGUUUUGUGGUUACAUAACGUCUGGUUUGUCUGGUUGUGUGUGCGUGCGUGAGAACCUGGAUGUCUGCACACUGCAGUGACGUCACAGAUAACAGGCUUAACUUUGACAAGCCCCCCCCCAAAUGCCUCGGGGCAGUGCAGUGACACCAUUUCAACACAAAACCGCAGAAACAUCCCACAGCAGUGCUUAACACAGAGAGCAACUGCUGUGGGCUGAUGGUGAAUCUGACAUCUCCACAGUAAUGACUGCAACCUCAAUACAUUAAAAAAAACACUAAUAGAAUUGUGGAAAAUUAUUCAGUAGCAGGCUACAAAUGUAUUGGCUUCAUCCAGCUGAUUUGGGUUAUUGAUACAUAUACAAAGAUCCAUAUAUAUGAAGAUCUAUGAAGAUAAAAUUGCAUCACAUGGUUAUUAUUUUAUAAAUUCUUCCUUUAUGUAUAAUGUGUCUCUACUGCUCUCAGAAUUUAUAUUUUUUUACGGGUGUGAUGAGUUUUAUUAAUUUACUAUAUACAAAAAAUGGCCAGCCACUGUGAUGUCACUCUGUAUUUUAACUCUGACAAAAUGUAACAUAUUAAUUUGUGAGGUUAAUCUAUUCCAAUAAGAAACAUCUUUUGUGUCUAAAGCAUGUUUUAAACUGUCCUCUGACAAGACUCAGGAUUCAGGCAAUGAAGAAAAUGGAGUUUUCAAAUGUGUACAAAUAUAGUACCCAAACUACCUAACUAGCUGUUUUCUUGCCUAGAGAUAACCACGUGACCAGCAAAAAUAAAAGUAAUCAAAAAGUUUAAAAAAUAUAUAAAUAAAUAAAAGCCAUCAGUGCUCCCCUCCCCCUUUCGAGUAGAUGCACACAUGGUAUAAAUGUGAAAAUCCUAGGUUAUUGUCAGAAAAGUUACCUCUGACCUUGAGGUCAAGGUCACCGGGAUUGGAACUCAUCUUA